rnacentral:sRNA from 1 species
GCCAGAUGCAGUGUUGGAUGCCUGUAUUCCAAGCUACUAGGGAAGCUGAGGUGGGAGGAUCACUUGAGCCCAUGGGUUCAAGUCUAGCCUGGGCAAAAUAGUGAGAUGUACAUCUCUU